AUCACUCUCUCUUUAUGUGGUCUUGGUGCCACAGAUAUGACAGAACACCACACCCAGAAGGUGUGUGGGUUACAGCUAGAUCUGUGUAGAACU